GGAGAGGUGUGUGAGUGGUUGAAACAGGCAGUCUUGAAAACUGCUAGGGGUGCAAGCUCCUCGUGGGUUCGCCUCCGCCA
rnacentral:tRNA from 1 species